rnacentral:rRNA from 1 species
GAUGAACGCUGGCGGCGUGCCUAAUACAUGCAAGUCGAGCGAACAGAUGAGGAGCUUGCUCCUCUGACGUUAGCGGCGGACGGGUGAGUAACACGUGGAUAACCUACCUAUAAGACUGGGAUAACUACGGGAAACCGGAGCUAAUACCGGAUAAUAUAUUGAACCGCAUGGUUCAAUAGUGAAAGACGGUUUUGCUGUCACUUAUAGUUGGAUCCGAGUCGCAUUAGCUAGUUGGUAAGUUAACGGCUUACCAAGGCAACGAUGCAUAGCCGACCUGAGAGGGUGAUCGGCCACGCUGGAACUGAGACACGGUCCAGACUCCUACGGGAGGCAGCAGUAGGGAAUCUUCCGCAAUGGGCGAAAGCCUGACGGAGCAACGCCGCGUGAGUGAUGAAGGUCUGCGGAUCGUAAAACUCUGUUAUUAGGGAAGAACAAAUGUGUAAGUAACGAUGCACGUCUUGACGGUACCUAAUCAGAAAGCCGCGGCUAACUACGU